AGUGAACGCUGGCGGUAGGCCUAACACAUGCAAGUCGAACGGCAGCACAGUAAGAGCUUGCUCUUCCGGGUGGCGAGUGGCGGACGUGUGAGGAAUACAUCGGAAUCUACUUUUUCGUGGGGGAUAACGUAGGUAAACUUACGCUCAUACCGCAUACGACCUACGGGUGAAAGCAGUGGAUCUUCGGACCUUGCGCGAUUGAAUGAGCCGAUGUCGGAUUAGCUAGUUGGCGGGGUAAAGGCCCACCCAGGCGCCGAUCCGUAGCUGGUCUGAGAGGAUGAUCAGCCACACUGGAACUGAGACACGGUCCAGACUCCUACGGGAGGCAGCAGUGGGGAAUAUUGGACAAUGGGCGCAAGCCUGAUCCAGCCAUACCGAGUGGGUGAAGAAGGCCUUCGGGGUGUAAAGCCCUUUUGUUGGGAAAGAAAAGCAGCAGGUUAAGACCACGCUGUUCUGACGGUACCCAAAGAAUAAGCACCGGCUAACUUCAUG
rnacentral:rRNA from 1 species